CCUACGGGGGGCAGCAGUGGGGAAUAUUGCGCAAUGGGCGAAAGCCUGACGCAGCAAUUCCGCGUGGAGGAUGACGGUUUUCGGAUUGUAAACUCCUUUGAUCAGGGAAGAAUUUUUGACGGUACCUGAAGAACAAGCACCGGCUAACUACGUGCCAGCAGCCGCGGUAAUACGUAGGGUGCAAGCGUUAUCCGGAUUUACUGGGUGUAAAGGGCGAGUAGGCGGGACUUCAAGUCAGAUGUGAAAUACCAGGGCUCAACCCUGGGGCUGCAUUUGAAACUGUAGUUCUUGAGUGAUGGAGAGGCAGGCGGAAUUCCUAGUGUAGCGGUGAAAUGCGUAGAUAUUAGGAGGAACACCAGUGGCGAAGGCGGCCUGCUGGACAUUAACUGACGCUGAGGAGCGAAAGCGUGGGGAGCAAACAGGAUUAGAUACCCGCGUAGUC
rnacentral:rRNA from 1 species